rnacentral:rRNA from 1 species
CGGUAAUACCAGCUCUCCGAGUGGUGGGGACGAUUAUUGGGCUUAAAGCGUUCGUAGCCGGCUCAGCAAGUCUUCCGUUAAAUCCAACGAUCUAAUCGUUGGGCUGCGGGAGAUACUGUUGGGCUAGGGGGCGGGAGAAGCCGACGGUAUCCUCGGGGUAGGGGUGAAAUCCUAUAAUCCCGGGAAGACCACCAGUGGCGAAGGCGGUCGGCUAGAACGCGCCCGACGGUGAGGGACGAAAGCUGGGGGAGCGAACCGGAUUAGAUACCCGGGUAGUCCCAGCCUGUAAACGAUGCGGGCUAGGUGUUGGGGCGGUCACGAACCGCCUCAGUGCCGCACGGAAGCAAUUAAGCCCGCCGCCUGGGGAGUACGGUCGCAAGGCUGAAACUUAAAGGAAUUGGCG